GUUCAUAUUUCUAUUAAAAUAGUUUAAAAAAAACAUUACAUUUUCAUUGUAAAAUUAAAUUAAAUUUUAUUA
rnacentral:tRNA from 1 species